rnacentral:lncRNA from 1 species
CGGCCUUGGGAAUUCUUACAUUAAGGGUGAUGAAUCUUGUGUUAAGAAACUCAUUGAUUAUUGUUUAAUGCUCUAUAUUAUUUAUGUCACAUUGAUCAUGAGACCGUGGGAUCUAUACAAUCUAGUUGUUAUACUUCCGGAGUUUGUCUGGGACUCACUCUUGCCAUCUCCCCCACACCUCAGGAGAAGUAUUGGGCUUGUGAUCAACCAGUCAGUUGGAUCCUGUAGAGUGCAGUU